UAGACCCGAUCUCUAUAACUGACUCCUAAAAUCUAUCUUAGCCAUCUUUGUUGAGCCACAUUUAGUGUUUUUCAAUUUCGGCAGAUGACUAUUCACUGCACUUUAUUAAUGGAGCCCAGCCACUGGUAGAAAUUUGUAACCUCUCUUGGCUACGCUCUUGGAAUUAGGUGACUGUAGUUUGCUUUAGAUUUUAUAUAGAAAAGGUAAGUUUUAUCGUCAAAUUCACCUGUUGAAGGUUUUAAACUAAAAAAUCUCUGGAGUUUUUUUUAAACAAAUUCAAAACCUCCUUAGCUACGCUCAUAGAAUUUGAUGAAUUUGGUUUACUGUACAAUAAUAUUGAAGAGAGAGGUUUUCUACCUCAAAACUCUCUGUAAGAGGAUUUUAAACUCAAAACCAUCUGGAGGGGUUUUAAACUUUAAAGAAAAAAAAACUUUGGAGGAGGGGGUUUAAAUUCAAAACCCCCCUUUAAACCCCCCCUUGGCUUGGCUAUUCUCAUAGAAUUUUGAGUGUGUAAUUUGCUUUUUUUUUUAUUGAAGAAGUAUUUUUAGCACUAAACCCCGCUGAAAGGGUUUAAACUCAAAAUCCCCUUUGUCUACGCUGAUAGCAUUUUGAGUGUGUAAUUUUCUUUAUAUAUAUUAAUAUUAUUAUAUAUAUAUUUAAGAAGUACUUUUUAACUUUAAACGCCGCUAAAGGGGGUUUAAACUCAAAAGGCCCUUUUGGCUAUGCUUAUGGAAUUUUUAGUGUAAUUUUUGCUUUUUUUUUUUUUUUUUUUUUUUUUUUUUAGUGACGAGGUAUUUUUUAGUUUUAAACCCUGCUGGAGGGGCGUUUUAAGUCAAAACUCCCUUUGACUACGCUCAUAUAAUUUUGAGUGUGUAAUUUGUUUUUCUUUUUAUAUUGAAGAGGUAUUUUUUAGCUUCAAAACCCAGCUGCAGGGGGUUUUAAACUCAAAACCCCUUUGGCUAAGCUCUAAGAAUUUUCAGUGUGUAAUUUGCUUUUUUAGCGGCCCCCGAAAGGGGAAAAGACGCUAUUAGUUUUGUCGGUCCGUCAGUCCCGUUUAGAUCUCAGAAACUAGAAGAGAAAAUGAAAAUCGGACAUCAUGAUAUUUUAGAUCAUUGACUGUUCUGAUGUAGCCCCUAUAAACAUGCCCUUUAUGGCCCAAUAUCAGUUCUGAUUAAGGUUGUCCCCAUUGCCCUAAUGGCAUCCCUAAAUAGCCCCAUCUGGGCCCUAAUGGGAGCGGGUACCGUUUGCACAUUGGCGUCAUUAGGGGCCAAUAGGGGCAACCGUAAUUGUGCCAAUAUCGGCCCAGAAUGGGUAAAAUUACUUUCGGAUUCAUUGGGGAUUUCCAGAAUCGCACCAUAAUCAAGCCCAUACCAGCCCCAAUGGUUUAGUAACUGACAUUUUUAUUGGGGCUCAAUUAGGGACAACCAUUGUACCAUUAUCGGUCCGAUGCUGGCUCUAAUGGUUUAGUAACUGAAAUAUUUAUUAGGGCUCAAUUAAGGAUAACCCUUAUUGUGCCAAUAUCAUUCCAAUGCUGGCCCCAAUGGUUUAGUAACUGAAAUAUUUAUUAGGGCUCAAUUGGGGAUUAUAUAUAUAUAGUUCGUCCAUCGUGGUUCGAUGAUGACCACUUUGUCAUCCAGGGGGCUGAGGGCUUUGCACUAGGGUUUUAUGCCUCCUCGUGUGGCUGGUGAGACCUAUGUGAGCCCGGAAUGUUCGGCCGCACACUGGGCAGGUUAUUCCAGCUGGAGCUAGUGUCGUUUGCUUUUCUUUUCUGGCGUUUUUCUUCUGCCUGCGUUGUUCUUUUUUCCUCAGCAUCCUGUGCGCCAGUUUUCACAGCUCGACGCCAUGAUGCUCUGUCAUGUGCCUCUGUCUCCAAGGUGCCUGGGUCUAUGCUGAACGCCUUCAGAGAAGCUUUGAGGGUGUCCCUGAAGCGCUUUCUUUGACCACCUUGCGAGCGCUUUCCUUGGCCAUACAAGAGUCGUUUAGGGAUGCGGUGGUCUUCCAUUCUGUAAACGUGACCUGCCCAUCGCAGAUGGGACUGCAUCAGGAUUGUGUGGAUACUUUGCAGACACGCUCUUCGAAGGACUUCAGUGUUUGGUAUUUUGUCUUGCCAUUUGACAUUUAGUAUUUUUCUCAGACAUGUCACGUGGAAGUGGUUCAGUUUCUUUGCAUGUUUACUGUUCACUGUCCAUGUUUCUGAGGCAUAGAGCAAUGUAGGGAGGAUGACGGCUCUAUAGACCCCUAGCUUUGUGUUUGAGGUGAUACCACGUCUGUUCCAGACAUCUUUAGACAGUCUGCUAUAGGAUGCACUGGCCUUGGCGAUACGCAGGUCGAUUUCACUAUCGAUUUUUCCGUUUCUGGAGAGUGUGCUGCCAAGACAUGCGAAUUUGUCCACUGCGUUUAUAUCCUGUCCAUUUAUAGCGAUGCUUGGAUCCGAGUAGGCUUUCCCAGGAGCAGGCAGAUAUAAGACUUCAGUCUUGUUUGUAUUAAUGGUAAGGCCAAAGUCUGAGCAUGCUCUUGAGAAGUCACUGACUAUGCUCUGCAGAUCAUUUUCAGAGCAGGCAUUUAGGGCACAGUCGUCAGCAAAUAGCAAGUCUCUGAUUACUGCUGCAUUUGUUUUUGAUUUUGCUUUAAGCCGCAUCGGGUUGAAUAGGCCACCAUCAAAUCUGCAUGAUAUAUUUAUCCCGUUGUUUUCUCUAUUUGUGAAUGCAUCUGUUAGCAUAGCGGAGAACAUGAUACUGAACAGUGUAGGUGCUAGGACACAGCCUUGUUUUACCCCUUUGAUACUUCGAAGGGCUCUGAUGGUUCUCCACUUUCUUGGACACGAGCCUUCAUGCCAUCAUGAAAUAGUCUCACCAUGGUUAUGAAUUUUCGUGGACAGCCAUACUUUGACAUAAUCUUCCAGAGUCCUUCUCUGCUAACAGUGUCAAAUGCCUUUGUUAGGUCGACAUAUAUUGAGAAAGGUCAGCAUUUUGUUCUUGGCAUUUUUCCUGUAGCUGCCUUGCUGCAAAGAUCAUGUCAAUGGUUCCACGUUCUUUUCUGAAGCCGCACUGGCUUUCUGGUAGUAGACCACGUUCUAUGUGUUGCAUGAACCGAUUUAGUAGGAUGCGUGCAAGGAUUUUCCCAGCAAUAGAGAGAAGAGAUAUUCCUUUGUGGUUGUCGCAGAUCUGGCGGUAUAAAUGAACAAUUGUGGCAUCUUUAAAGUCUUUGUGGUAUUGACUCUUUUUCCCACAUAAUUAAGAAGAACUUAUGAAGUCUUUCAAUCAGGGCUAAUCCACCUUUUUUGUAGACCUGUGCGGGAAAGGAGUCAGCUCCUGGGGCUUUUCCGCUUGCGAGCUGUUGAAUGGCAAAAUCGGUUUCCUUUAGCGUAGGGGGGUCAUCCAUUUUUUCAUUUAUUGGUACUUGCUGUAGCCUGUCUAUGGCCGCUUCAUUUAUGAUGGAAGAUGUAUUGAGAACCUUUUGGAAGUGCUCUGCCCAGCGUUUUAGGAUUUCUUCCUUAUCUGUCAAUAGGAUUGUCCCAUCAGCAUUUAAUAGAGGGGAUGAGCCUGACUUUGUGGGUCCAUAUAUUUCGUUAAUGGCAUGGUAGAAGUUCUUCAUGUCGUGCUUGUCAGCAAAUUCCUGUAUUGUUUCCACUUUCUUUCUAAGCCAGGUAUCUUGCAUUUGGCGUAACUAUUUUUGCGGAUGUUAGUGAAUGCAUCUUUAGUGGACUGGGAGUUUGGGUUUGUUCAGAUACAAUUUAUGGAGCUUGUGCUUUUCGUCUAAUAGUUUCCUGAUUUCAGUACUGUUUUCAUCAAACCAGUUCUGAUGCUUUCUCUCCAUAGGACCGAGUAUGUUUAAUGCUGUGCUAUAGAUAGCUUCUUUGAAGCAUUCCCAGCUUUUAUCUACAUAUUCAGUUAGAAGGGUGGACUUGAGGCAGUUCUUUAUCGCAUCUGCAAGCGACUUUUCAGUUUUGUCAUCUGCUAGGCUGGCCGUGUUUAGCCUUUUUAGGGGUUUAGAUUUUUGCGGACGUCUCCUUGGUUGAAUACGAAUGUUUAGUUUUGUGAUGAUGAGGCGGUGGUCUGUUCCACAUUCUGCACCACAGCAAGAUUUGGUGACACGAAUGUCCUGACGGUCAGAUUGUCUGGUGAUGGCGUAAUCUAUGAGGUGCCAGUGUCUUGAGCGGGGAUGCAUCCAGGAAGUUCGCUUUCUCAUUGGAAGACUGAAUAUUGUGUUUGAUAUGAGCAGCUUGUGUUCAGCACAGGUCUGGAGUAGUAAUAAUCCGUUGCUUUUGCAUUGACCUAUCCCGAAUCGGCCUAAGACUCCUUUCCAGAUGGAAUGGUCAGAGCCGACUCUUGCGUUGAAGUCACCGAGAAUGAGUAGCUUUCUGUUUUUGGAAUUUUGUGGAGUUUAGUUUUUCAUAGAACUUUGCUAUGACAUCAUCUGGGUUGGUCAGGGUGGGUGCGUAACAGCUAACAAUGGAAAUAUGUUUCUUUCCGUUUUGUAAAGGCAGCUUUAGGGUCAUGAGCCUAUCACUAAUUCCUUUGGGAGACCCGACUAGUUUAGAUACUAUUGAUGUUUUUAUGGCAAAGCUGACUCCAGAUAAACGUCGUACUUCAGUGCUUCUACCGCUCCAGAUCCUCUUUCGCAGAGUUCACCUUCAUCUGCAAGCCGAGUCACGCUUAGUGCUCUUAUGUCUAUGUUGUAUCUGUGGAGCUCCCUGGCUACUAGUGCAGUUCGAUUACCCUUAUUGUGUCAAUAUCAUUCCGAUGCUGGCCCCAAUAGUUUAGUAAUGUGAAUUUUAUUGUUUUUUAUUAGGGAUGACCAUCAUAAUGCCAUUAUCACGUCGAUAUUGGUUUAAUUAAUUAGGGAUGACCUUUAUUAUUCUUCAAUUCAUCAUGACUGAUUUUUUUUGUUUAUUAUGCCCUUUUUGUUCAGAUGCAGCUCAAUGGCUUAGUAGAAAUGAAGCCACAUUGGUGCAAUCAGUGUGUGAUCUAUAUACAUGUAGCUAUAAUGUCAACAUAUUUAAACAAUAAUGGACAUACAGUUUUGGAAAUGUACUAGACAAGACUUGCAUGCUCUGUUCAUUCAUUCUAAAAUUAAACUUACACAAAGCUAACUUCAAGAGUGGUGACAAUAAUUUCAACAUCAGUAAAGCGAUCAUAUUUUGACUUCCAUGCAGCAGCUGAAAGAAACAAAAAUUAAUUAAUUGUCAUGUAACAAAACUACCUUCAUCGAGCAUGAGAAGACCUACAUUCAUGUAUGUGGACAUACUAUUUUACAGUGAUAUAUCCAGCCCUUGGGCUAGAAUAGGAAAUCAUGCUAAAAAAUUAGGUUGCUUCUAAACCCUGUUAAGCAAUUUAAAAAUGUAACAGUAUUUCAAAAUUUGGAGCCCAAUCUUCUUCUUAAAAUACAUGUUAUGAAUUGGUGUCAGCAAAUAUGGUUAUGGUAUUUGACUACGACUAAAAGUGCAAUGGCAGACUAGAUC